UACGGGGGGGGCAAGCGUUGUUCGGAAUUACUGGGCGUAAAGGGAGCGUAGGCGGACAGUUAAGUCAGAGGUGAAAGCCCAGGGCUCAACCCUGGAAUUGCCUUUGAUACUGAUUGUCUUGAGUAUGGGAGAGGUAUGCGGAACUCCGAGUGUAGAGGUGAAAUUCGUAGAUAUUCGGAAGAACACCAGUGGCGAAGGCGGCAUACUGGCCCAUUACUGACGCUGAGGCUCGAAAGCGUGGGGAGCAAACAGG
rnacentral:rRNA from 1 species